CCUGUAUUGAAGCUCCAGAAAAGUGUGAGUGCACAUCUUUUAUUUUAAUGUGUAAACUUUAAAAAUAGAAACAAAUAUCCAGGAGCUUUCAAAGAGUGGAUGUGGUGAUAAAACUUAGUUUAAAAAUACACACUGAAGUUUAGUGUAUAUAAAAUACGAAAUACACACAGAUCUCUUAGGUGUUCAAUAUGAGAAAUUAUGUGUAUGGCAUAAGAAUCAUUGAACCUGGAAGGAGGGAAUAUCCCAGGGCAAGUUGGCCCCUUGCCAAAUGUUCUACUUUUUUAAAAAUAAAAGGAAGUCGCAAAAAUAGAUAAAAUUGUUAUAUCUGUACCAAUUGACAGAAAAAAUUUCAAUAUAUGUUAUAAUCUAGCAAAGCCAGUACAUGGAACUAGUUGCUAUAAGCAAUAAAAAUCGCUGAAAACAACUGAGAGUUAAAAAACAAAUUUAUUCCAAGAUAGUUAAAAAUAUAAUUAAAAAUAAGUCCACCUUACAUAGACCAGUCAAUUUAGGGUAAAAGAUACAGAGCAACCUUAUUACCAUGGACGGAUGGAUUUGGAUGUUAUUCGUAAUCCUAUCUUUCAAAUUCUGAUCGCCGGUGAGGACGGCGUGCGUGCCAUAAGGCGAGCCUCACUUCAGGGGAUCAGCACUGUUCGCCGGAUGAUGUGGAUAGGAUGCUUGGAAUUCAAGGUGAUGUAUCAGUUCUUGUGUCGAUACCCUGGCUGGUUGUUUGUUUUGUGGACGUUCUAUGAAGCUGUCUGACGCGUUUCGUAGGGGGUAGCCCUACUUCCUCAGAGACGUAUAGGUUCACCUCCAUCUGGGUAUAUUUAUAUAUCCCUCAGUUGUUUGAUCAAUUAAUCAAUAUUCAUAACAGGUAAGUAAAUUUUAGUAGAAUAUGUAAAACAUCUAUGACAUUAUGGUAUAUCGAAAAAACUGAAAUACAAAUACAAAUAUAACUUUAAAUUUUUUUUUCACAUUUUAUACAAUAAAGAUUUUAUACAAUAAAAACUUGCUUAUUAAAGCUAUUAUUAUUCAUGCAAGAAACAUAUUGGCUCAAAGAAUCUAAACAGAGUUGGGGGGGACAAAUUUACAACUAUUGUUCACGCCUCACUAAUGGAUAAGAAAAAAAGAGGAGCUGCAAUCAUUUUUAAUAGAGAUAUAAAUCAUGAAAUUAAACAUAUUGAAUGAGAUCCGGAAGCUAGAUUUAUAAUAAUGGUCUGCGUUAUUGAUAAUAGGAUUUAUACUCUGGUCAAUGUUUAUCUCCCUAAUGUAGAUCCUACGUCUAAACUUUCGGCAAUAAUGGAGAGAGUUGUUAAGGUCUGUAAGGGACAUUUAAUUGUAGCUGGCGAUUUUAACUGCGUGAGUGAUCCCAAACUAGACAAGACGCAUAGAUCUUUAAUCUCAAUUGAUAAAAGAACUGUAAAGCAGGCUAAAAAAAUACAUAGUAUUUACAAACAAUAUAAUCUUCAUGAUAUUUGGAGAUUAUUACAUUCUUUGGACAGAGAUUAUUCUCAUCAAUCCUGUGCACAUGGCACAUAUGCACGGAUUGAUUUUUGUUUAGUCGAUGCAAAUUCGAUACCUCUUUGUAAUUCUAUAAAAAUUAAAGAGAGUUUAUGGUCAGACCACAGUGUUAUACUAAUUGAUCUUGGAAAUAAACUACCUAUGGCCCGCAUGACCUGGAGAUUGAAUGAUGCUCUUAUUAAUGACCCUAAAACUAAGGAUGAAUUAAUUCAGUUACUAAAAUAUUUUUGGUUAGAAAAUAGCUCUACCGACACAUCUCCAGCUAAUAAUUGGUGUACACAUAAAUCUGUUAUGCGAGGGUAUUUAAUUAAAUUAGAACAUAUAAUGAGGAUAAAGAGGGGUAUAUUGAAUUCUAUGGUAUAUCUAAUUUAAACAAACAGAAUCCCUCUGCAGAAUUAAGAGCUCAUCUAAAUGCUAUACAAAAACAAAUUGAUUUAAAAGUUGAACAGAAAAUCAAAUUAUUCAUAAAUUAAAAUUAAAGAAUUAUUAUACAGGCAACAGAGCAAAUAAAAAUCUGUCCAAAAGACUGCAAAAUCAGAAUGCAAAAAAUAGAGUGGAAGUUUUUUUAACACCUUCUCUAAUAGGGGAGAGAUUUAACCAAUUUUAUGAAGAUUUGUAUAAUCUUAAAUUGUCUCCCAAUUUAACAGAUAUUCAAAAUUAUUUAGCCAAUACGCAGAUUCCGAAAGUCUCAUGUCAGGAUUUAUUAACUUUAAAUAAAAUUAUUUUGCCCGAGGAAGUAUAAUUUCAAAUAAACAGCUUACCUACAAAUAAAACACCAGGCCCUGAUGGCUUUUCGAAUCUAUAUUAUAAACAUAUGCAGUCUCUAUUAAUAAAUCCAUUAACAGAAAUGUUUAAUCAGAUAGCAUUAAAUGAAUCUUUUCCAUCUGAAUUAUUGCAAGCUAAUCUUAUUCCAAUAUUGAAACAAAAUAAGAAUAGCUCAGACCCUAGUAGUUACAGACCUAUAGCAUUAAUUAAUGUGGAUAUGAAAAUAUACUCUGCCAUUAUUGCUGAUAGAAUUAAGACUAUUAUACCGGGUCUGAUCCGCCCGGACCAAAUUGGGUUUGUUCCGGGUAGAUUGGCUUCUAAUAACACUAGAAGAAUAAUAUAUAUUGUAGAUAUGGCCAACAGAAACAGGUUUCCCCUUCUGGCCCUGUCUUUGGACGCCGAAAAAGCGUUCGACGGGGUCGGAUGGGGCUACUUGAGUGAGGUCCUAAAUGCCUUUGGGUUUACAGGUUGGAUACAUAAUGCAAUAUCGGCUUUGUACUCUUUUCCCUCUGCUCGAACUGUAGGGCCAAAUAUAACUGCGGGCUGGUUUGAACUUAAAAAUGGUACUCGUCAAGGGUGUCCUCUUUCCCCUUUGCUUUAUAUUUUAUCCCUUGAGCCUUUGGCCAUAAAUAUUAGGAAUAAUCCAUUGAUUAAAG